GGUUUUUAGAUUUUAUUAAAAAUCAAGCCUGCUCAAUGCUAAGUAAAUAGCCGCAGAAUUUUAACUGUGCAAAGGUAGCAUAAUCACUUGUCUUUUAAUUGAGGACUAGAAUGAAAGGUUUAACUAUGUAAUUUUGUCUUAUAGUAAUAUUUUGAACUUAAUUUUUUAGUAAAAAAGCUAAAAUUCAUCUUAAAGACGAGAAGACCCUAUUAAGCUUUACAAUUUAAUAUUAUUUUCAAGCUAAUUAAAAAAUUGUUCUGCUGGGGCAGCAAAUAAAAAAAUAUUGUUUACAUAUUGUGAUAAAUAAAUCUAGAAAAAUCAAUAAUUUGUUAAAAAAUAAUAAGUUACUAUAGGGAUAACAGCAUAAUUUUUUUAAAGAGUUCUCAUCAACAAAAAAGUUUGUGACCUCGAUGUUGGAUUAAGAAUCCUAUUUUACGCAGUAGUAAAAAAAGGGAGUCUGUUCGACUCUUAAAUUCUUCCA
rnacentral:rRNA from 1 species